AAUGCGGCCACAGAAGUCAAACCGGAACCAUCCUCUGCGUCAUGAUAACGGCUCUCACGCGGUAAACUAGUGUGGUCUGCACCGAUAUCAGGGGGCACCCCCUCCCUGUGCAGGCAAGGAACUGAAGGAUGGGCUCGCCAUUACAUUAUCCUUUGUGAGAAGAGGAUGGUGACACUUAGGAGAAAGAAAAUCCUCCUGUAUCACUUUGGUGCAGUGGAAAGGAGUCUCAUUUUGGAGAAGGAAGGCAAAAUUUCCAGUUCUGACUCGGCUGGGAAAGAUUGUAAGCCCGUCUCACACCUGCUUCCCUUCUGCUCCCUGCCUGCCUGCCUGCAUUGCCAACAAACUGAAGUUGAAUAUGGGGUUUUAAGAUUCCUUAGCCCUUACAGACGCAACACGUACCUUGAACUGUGCAGUGGUGAGAGUGGCGCCACCAAGCUCCUUUCCUGGGAACUACACUCAGCAUUUCAGCCUCAAGCCACAAAGCUUUGAACUGUAAGACAUGCAGAGGGGGCUUGAAAAUUACACAGAGGAGGACAUAUGAAGACAGAGGCACAGAUUGGAGUGAAGAAGCCACAAGCCAAAGAAUGCCUGUAGCCACCAGAAGCUGGAAAAGGCAGAGAUUUCCCUCUGGAGCCUCCAGAGGAAGUGCAGCCCUGUGACACCUUGAUUUUGGCCCAGUGAUGUCAGUUUUUGAACUUCUAGCCUCCAGAACUGUAAGAGAAUGCAUUUCUGUUGUUUUAAGCCACCCAGUUUUGGUAAUUGGUUAUAGCAGCCACAGGAAUCUAAAACAUACAGACAUUUACAGUGGCAAAUUUUCACUCCAUCUCUUUAAUGUUGCAGGUAGUUAUGAUGUUUUCACAAAAAACCCUGGAGAGGAAUAGUCCUAUGAGUUGAACUACAAGAAUUCUAUAUAUAGGGAGAUAUAAAGAACUAGAAAAGGAAUGUUGCUGACAUGAUGAUUCAAUAGAAAUGGUAUCCAAUUGCAUAAGCUAUUGCAUUAGCCUUUAAGGUUUCUGUAAGGCCAAGAAGAAACUUCAUAAAUGUGAGAGAAAUAAACAUUGAUUUGAGUAUUUUAAUCUUCUUCCCUUUAAUUACUUGAAAAAUUAUUUUUCAAACUAUAAGGAUAGCAUAAUCACAUUGAGUAACCUUUGCAAAAUAGGCAGGAACAAAGUCACAUAAAAUCCUCAAUACAACUACUGUCAUCGCUUUGUUACAAUCGCUUACAUUCACUUUCUCCUUUUAAAUGGUAGUAGUCAUUUAA